CGCGUCCCUCCAUCGACACCGGGAUGGGCCUGGAGCGCAUGACCGCGGUGCUGCAAGGCACCCAUGACAAUUACAACAUCGAUCUCUUCCGCCGCCUCAUCGCCGCGUCCGCCGAUCACUCCGGCACGUCGGUGGCCGGCCCGCACCGCUGUCAGCCAUCGCGUCAAUCGCCGAUCAUUUGCGCUCCUCGGCCUUUCUCAUUGCCGAUGGUGUGCUGCCGUCCAACGAAGGUCGCGGCUACGUGCUUCGCCGCAUCAUGCGCCGCGGCAUGCGUCACGCCCAUAUUCUGGGAUCGAAAGAUCCUUUGAUGUAUCGCCUCGUCGCCACGCUCGUCGCCGAGAUGGGCGAGGCCUUUCCGGAACUCGGCCGCGCCGAACCAUUGGUGCGCGAAACGCUGCGCAUCGAGGAAACGCGUUUCCGCGAAACAUUGGCGCGCGGGCUGAAGCUUCUGGAUGAAACCACCGGCAAUCUGAAAUCCGGCGACGUGCUCGCCGGCGAAGUCGCGUUCAAACUCUACGACACCUACGGGCUUUCCGCUCGAUCUCACCGAAGAUGCCUUGCGCGCGCGCGGCAUUGCGGUCGACCAAGCCGGAUUUACCGCCGCCAUGGCGCGGCAAAAAAGCCGAAGCGCGCAAAGCCUGGUCGGGCUCGGGCGAAGCGGCCACGGACAAAACCUGGUUUGAGCUCCGCGAAGAAUUGGGCGCCACGGAAUUCCUCGGCUAUGACGCGGAAAGCGCCGAAGGCGUGGUAACCGCCAUCAUUCAUGACGGCGCGCGCGUUACCUCGGCGGAAGCCGGCGAAACCGUGCGCCUCAUCACCAAUCAAACGCCGUUUUACGGCGAGAGCGGCGGGCAGAUUGGCGAUCGCGGCGCCAUGUUUUCGUCCAAGGGCGCCGAGGGCGAAGUCGUCGAAACCGAGAAGAAGCUCGGCGAUCUUGUCAUUCAUGUGGUGAAAAUCACGCGC
rnacentral:misc_RNA from 1 species